AGAAAUCCCCUAUAGGGAGGGUGAGAACCCUCGCCAGGUUCGACAAAACGGCAACGCCGUUUUGCAUGGCCGUCAGGCCACCCGCAGGGCAAGGCGCGCAGCGCCGCAGUGAAUCCCUCCCUCACCGCUG
rnacentral:sRNA from 1 species